CCUACGGGGGGCAGCAGUGGGGAAUAUUGGGCAAUGGGCGCAAGCCUGACCCAGCAACGCCGCGUGAAGGAAGAAGGCUUUCGGGUUGUAAACUUCUUUUAAGAGGGAAGAGCAGAAGACGGUACCUCUUGAAUAAGCCACGGCUAACUACGUGCCAGCAGCCGCGGUAAUACGUAGGUGGCAAGCGUUGUCCGGAUUUACUGGGUGUAAAGGGCGUGUAGCCGGGCUGACAAGUCAGAUGUGAAAUUCCGGGGCUCAACCCCGGACCUGCAUUUGAAACUGCCGGGCUGGAGUGCAGGAGAGGUAAGCGGAAUUCCUAGUGUAGCGGUGAAAUGCGUAGAUAUUAGGAGGAACACCAGUGGCGAAGGCGGCUUACUGGACUGUAACUGACGUUGAGGCUCGAAAGCGUGGGGAGCAAACAGGAUUAGAUACCCGUGUAGUC
rnacentral:rRNA from 1 species